AGCAGUAGCGCGGUAAUACAGAGGGUGCGAGCGUUAAUCGGAUUUACUGGGCGUAAAGCGUGCGUAGGCGGCUUUUUAAGUCGGAUGUGAAAUCCCUGAGCUUAACUUAGGAAUUGCAUUCGAUACUGGGAAGCUAGAGUAUGGGAGAGGAUGGUAGAAUUCCAGGUGUAGCGGUGAAAUGCGUAGAGAUCUGGAGGAAUACCGAUGGCGAAGGCAGCCAUCUGGCCUAAUACUGACGCUGAGGUACGAAAGCAUGGGGAGCAAACAGGAUUAGAUACCCCCGUAGUCCCUGUCUCUUAUACC
rnacentral:rRNA from 1 species